GUUCCCAGUCCUCAGUCCCUCCAUCUCCCCCGUUUCUCAGCAAAGCAGGGUGGGGGCAGCCGCCGCCGCCGGUCGCCGCCCAGGGCCCUGUCAGGUCAUGGCAGCCAAGGUCCCGCCGCCUGUGUGUGAAGGGGAGGGGGCUGCCCGCCGUGGCCAAGGGAUAAGGGAUUGCUGUCUACCACCUGGAACCACAAUUCCAGACAGACAGGAGAGAAGCUUUAAUUUGUGUGAAAUACUAGUCUCUGGCAGAAGAUGUUGUGACCUGCCCAACAAAGAAGGCCCAUCAACACCAGAGCUAUUGUGGAACAACAGAGAACAAAAGACUUUGCUGAUGGCUCUCCCAUUCCUCCCUCACCUGCCCAUGAAGAGGAGAAAUGUAUGUGAAUUCCUCCCAUCAGCUGAGGUUGCAAUUUGAAGCAGAAGGGGGAAAAGAAUAAAAAGGCCGAACAAGGAGGAACUGCAUCUCUAUGGCUCUUGGACUCUUGAGGACAAGGUUGUCUAGGCAUAAGCAAGAUAUACAGUAUGUAGCCUGGGUUAGCCCUAAAGGACAUAUAGAGCUUGCUUAUAGAAGCUUCUAUUAAUUUUAUAUGUUUACCUGCUUUAAUUUUGUAAAUAACUCUCGUUUCCUUUUAAAUAAAUAUUUAGUUUAUUAUA